rnacentral:rRNA from 1 species
GACGAACGCUGGCGGCGUGCUUAACACAUGCAAGUCGAACGAAGAGCGAUGGAAGCUUGCUUCUAUCAAUCUUAGUGGCGAACGGGUGAGUAACGCGUAAUCAACCUGCCCUUCAGAGGGGGACAACAGUUGGAAACGACUGCUAAUACCGCAUACGAUCCAAUCUCGGCAUCGGGACUGGAUGAAAGGUGGCCUCUAUUUAUAAGCUAUCACUGAAGGAGGGGAUUGCGUCUGAUUAGCUAGUUGGAGGGGUAACGGCCCACCAAGGCGAUGAUCAGUAGCCGGUCUGAGAGGAUGAACGGCCACAGUGGGACUGAGACACGGCCCAGACUCCUACGGGAGGCAGCAGUGGGGAAUCUUCCGCAAUGGACGAAAGUCUGACGGAGCAACGCCGCGUGAGUGAUGACGGCCUUCGGGUUGUAAAGCUCUGUUAAUCGGGACGAAUGGUUCUUGUGCGAAUAGUGCGAGGAUUUGACGGUACCGGAAUAGAAAGCCACGGCUAACUACGUG